GAACCGUGCGAACGUUGUUCGGAAUCACUGGGCUUAAAGGGCGCGUAGGCGGGCGCCGGGGUCGGGGGUGAAAGCCCGCAGCUCAACUGCGGAAGGGCCUCCGAUACCGGGCGCCUCGAGGGGGGUAGGGGCACGCGGAACUUCCGGUGGAGCGGUGAAAUGCGUAGAUAUCGGAAGGAACGCCGGCGGCGAAAGCGGCGUGCUGGGCCCCCCCUGACGCUGAGGCGCGAAAGCCAGGGGAGCGAACGGGAUUAGAUACCCCGGUAGUCCUGGCCCUAAACGAUGGGUACCAGGCCGCGGGCUGACAUGGGCUCGCGGCCGCGGCAAAAGUGUUAAGUACCCCGCCUGGGGAGUAUGGUCGCAAGGCUGAA
rnacentral:rRNA from 1 species